AAAGAUUGUGAUAUAUUUGAAAUCACCAAGUUUUUUGACACUCACAUAUGCUCAAGAAAUAUUCUUCAUUUAGAUCAUCGACAAGCUGCAACAAAACUUUUAGAAAAGACUAUCAUGAAGAAAUUUGAAAGAGUUGGUCAAUCAUACACACCAAAUGAUAUAAUAGAUGAUGUCCAAACAGAAUACGGGUUAAGAAUAAGCUACAACAAAGCAUGAAAGGCCA
rnacentral:lncRNA from 1 species